AUGAACGCUAGCUACAGGCUUAACACAUGCAAGUCGAGGGGCAUCAGGAAGAAAGCUUGCUUUCUUUGCUGGCGACCGGCGCACGGGUGAGUAACACGUAUCCAACCUGCCCUUUACUCGGGGAUAGCCUUUCGAAAGAAAGAUUAAUACCCGAUAGUAUAAUGAUUCCGCAUGGUUUGAUUAUUAAAGGAUUCCGGUAAAGGAUGGGGAUGCGUUCCAUUAGGUUGUUGGUGAGGUAACGGCUCACCAAGCCUUCGAUGGAUAGGGGUUCUGAGAGGAAGGUCCCCCACAUUGGAACUGAGACACGGUCCAAACUCCUACGGGAGGCAGCAGUGAGGAAUAUUGGUCAAUGGGCGAUGGCCUGAACCAGCCAAGUAGCGUGAAGGAUGACUGCCCUAUGGGUUGUAAACUUCUUUUAUAUUAGAAUAAAGUGCAGUAUGUAUACUGUUUUGUAUGUAUAAUAUGAAUAAGGAUCGGCUAACUCCGUGCCAGCAGCCGCGGUAAUACGGAGGAUCCGAGCGUUAUCCGGAUUUAUUGGGUUUAAAGGGAGCGUAGGUGGACUGGUAAGUCAGUUGUGAAAGUUUGCGGCUCAACCGUAAAAUUGCAGUUGAUACUGUCAGUCUUGAGUACAGUAGAGGUGGGCGGAAUUCGUGGUGUAGCGGUGAAAUGCUUAGAUAUCACGAAGAACUCCGAUUGCGAAGGCAGCUCACUGGACUGCAACUGACACUGAUGCUCGAAAGUGUGGGUAUCAAACAGGAUUAGAUACCCUGGUAGUCCACACAGUAAACGAUGAAUACUCGCUGUUUGCGAUAUACAGCAAGCGGCCAAGCGAAAGCAUUAAGUAUUCCACCUGGGGAGUACGCCGGCAACGGUGAAACUCAAAGGAAUUGACGGGGGCCCGCACAAGCGGAGGAACAUGUGGUUUAAUUCGAUGAUACGCGAGGAACCUUACCCGGGCUUAAAUUGCAGUGGAAUGAUGUGGAAACAUGUCAGUGAGCAAUCACCGCUGUGAAGGUGCUGCAUGGUUGUCGUCAGCUCGUGCCGUGAGGUGUCGGCUUAAGUGCCAUAACGAGCGCAACCCUUAUCUUUAGUUACUAACAGGUCAUGCUGAGGACUCUGGAGAGACUGCCGUCGUAAGAUGUGAGGAAGGUGGGGAUGACGUCAAAUCAGCACGGCCCUUACGUCCGGGGCUACACACGUGUUACAAUGGGGGGUACAGAAGGCAGCUACCUGGUGACAGGAUGCUAAUCCCAAAAGCCUCUCUCAGUUCGGAUCGAAGUCUGCAACCCGACUUCGUGAAGCUGGAUUCGCUAGUAAUCGCGCAUCAGCCACGGCGCGGUGAAUACGUUCCCGGGCCUUGUACACACCGCCCGUCAAGCCAUGGGAGCCGGGGGUACCUGAAGUACGUAACCGCAAGGAGCGUCCUAGGGUAAAACUGGUGACUGGGGCU
rnacentral:rRNA from 1 species